CUUAGUGGCGGACGGGUGAGUAACGCGUGGGUAACCUGCCUCACACUGGGGGAGUAACAGUUAGAAAUAGCUGCUAAUACCGCAUAAGCGCACGGUUCCGCAUGGAACAGUGUGAAAAACUCCGGUGGUGUGAGAUGGACCCGCGUCUGAUUAGCCAGUUGGCGGGGUAACGGCCCACCAAAGCGACGAUCAGUAGCCGGCCUGAGAGGGUGAACGGCCACAUUGGGACUGAGACACGGCCCAAACUCCUACGGGAGGCAGCAUG
rnacentral:rRNA from 1 species